AAUAGAUACCCGGGUAGUCCACGCCGUAAACGGUGGGUGCUAGGUGUGGGAGACUAUCUACGUUUUCCGCGCCGCAGCUAACGCAUUAAGCACCCCGCCUGGGGAGUACGGCCGCAAGGCUAAAACUCAAAGGAAUUGACGGGGGCCCGCACAAGCGGCGGAGCAUGCGGCUUAAUUCGAUGCAACGCGAAGAACCUUACCUAGGCUUGACAUAUACGGGAAGCAGGCAGAGAUGUCUGUGCCUUCGGGCUCGUAUACAGGUGGUGCAUGGCUGUCGUCAGCUCGUGUCGCGAGAUGUUGGGUUAAGUCCCGCAACGAGCGCAACCCUCGCCCUAUGUUGCCAGCGGGUAAUGCCGGGGACUCAUAGGAGACUGCCGGGGUCAACUCGGAGGAAGGUGGGGACGACGUCAAGUCAUCAUGCCCCUUACGUCUAGGGCUGCACGCAUGCUACAAUGGCCGGUACAAAGGGCUGCAAUACCGCAAGGUUGAGCGAAUCCCAAAAGGCCGGUCUCAGUUCGGAUUGGGGU
rnacentral:rRNA from 1 species